rnacentral:rRNA from 1 species
GAUGAACGCUGGCGGCGUGCCUAAUACAUGCAAGUCGAGCGAACAGACGAGGAGCUUGCUCCUCUGACGUUAGCGGCGGACGGGUGAGUAACACGUGGAUAACCUACCUAUAAGACUGGGAUAACUUCGGGAAACCGGAGCUAAUACCGGAUAAUAUAUUGAACCGCAUGGUUCAAUAGUGAAAGACGGUUUUGCUGUCACUUAUAGCUGGAUCCGCGCCGCAUUAGCUAGUUGGUAAGGUAACGGCUUACCAAGGCGACGAUGCGUAGCCGACCUGAGAGGGUGAUAGGCCACACUGGAACUGAGACACGGUCCAGACUCCUAAGGGAGGCAGCAGUAGGGAAUCUUCCGCAAUGGGCGAAAGCAUGACGGAGCAACGCCGCGUGAGUGAUGAAGGUCUUCGGAUCGUAAAACUCUGUUAUUAGGGAAGAACAAAUGUGUAAGUAACUAUGCACGUCUUGACGGUACCUAAUCAGAAAGCCACGGCUAACUACGUG